rnacentral:lncRNA from 1 species
GCAUCAAAUCAAAACUAGAAACAAGAAUAGAACAAUAGAACUGAAAUUUAUUCAAUGAAAAAUGGAAAUUACACCAAUAGAAAGGAACCGAGCAAACCACGGGCUGUCACCACCGCGGCUUCCCGAUCAAAAAGUCCAAGAUUUACAGUAGAAAGCUACUCUACAAAAAGCAAUAAACCUCACCGAGAACCUGUUAACGAUGUCUGUCACCCACCGCUUACAACACAGCGUCAUCUCUCACAAUCGCCUCUCAUGGGUGGAGUCUGUCACCCUCCACCGUUCACACACUAGUUCGCGGAGUUUGUUACCUUCUUGCGAUUCACACUCAAAAAUCUGUACAAACCCCUCUUUUAUAGGGUCCAAUAGAAAAGAAAGAAAGGAAGAACCUUGACGCUUCACUCUUGUCUUCAAUCGGACGACCAUCUUCACUUUGCUCACGAGAUUGGUUCUACACCCUUUGAUCACUUCAGUGUUCUCGUUGGUUCAGGCUCUGAUCAUCUUCUAUUAAGUGACACUUGAGCAUUUGAGAGUUUUCUUCCUCUCACACGAGCAAGCCAUAGCUUUUGGGUGCUUCUUUUUCUCUUAGCCUCUCCAAAGUGAAUUGCUCGAGCCCUCUGCAAAUGAAAAUGGGGGAAGAGACCCCUAAGGCAGCUGCUUGGCUUGAAACACACCGUUUCACUUAAGCUCAAAAUCCAUGCUAGCAGCCCACUUCCUGCAAUUCAUCCCAGCAACAGCAGCGGCCCAGUGCAGUGGCAGUAGAGCCCAAUUUGAGGGUUGAUCCCUCC